AGUGAGAGUCUUUUUUUUUUUUUUUUUUCCCCUCCAGGUUUGUGGGGUUGUUUUGGUAUAUUUAUUUAUAGGCUCCUACAAACUUUCCAAUAAUAUUUUGAACACCUGCAGAGCAAACACAAGCCUGCAGGCUUGCUUUCUUAUGUCCUGCAUUCUCCUUAGAGUAAUUCAUACAUCUUGGAUUUGAUUCAGAAGUUACUCUCUCCUUCCUGAACAUCUGUAGCCCACAGCUGGGUGCAUUCCUGUAUGCUUCGAAAUUAGGGGAAGAAAGCUCAGCUCACCAAAGCUGGUAUGAUGAGAGAAGCACACCUGGCAUUUGCCUUUAACAGCUGUGGACUCCUGGGCUGCAUGAGGUUUUCAUGAACAGGCACUCAUGCAACUUAAAUUCUUGAUCCUUUCUCAUUGUGGAUUUAAAGCAAUGAUGUAUGUCAAACUCUUCUGAAUCCUUCCCUCUCUUCUAAUGUGGCACAGUGAGAUAUUGUAUGCAAUAAAAAGAUGGAAACAGGCCUUCAAAUUGUGCUUUUCAGACUGCUGCAAAAGCUAUCUAUAUAGACUAGACAAAGAGGAGAGACUCAUUUGCUCAUGAGCUGAAAGCUCUCUGUGCCUGAGUGUGUUCCAUCUCAAGAAGGUUGUGAGGAGAAAUUAAAAUGCUUUCACACAUUCUGCCUAAUGUGCCCCUGAGAGGAUAGCAUCUGUGCAUGCCAUCUCUAGGAUUUGGAAAGGAAGGAAGUGUUCUGUUCCAAGGACAAGCAGAUGCUAUGUUGAUUGUACCUGGAUGGUCAUGUGAACAAAUAACAACUUCCAAAACAAAUUUCAGUCUCCAAAUCCACUGGAAGAAGGCAAUAAAGAGAACUUUGAGACCUGAAAACAUGUUUUUUCAUCUCUGCUAUAUAUGUAUACUAGCAGUUUCCAAUGCUUAUCCAGCUUAAUCUGUGCAAUGAAGGACAGAAGAAUACAGAAAAGGAAAGUCUUUGGGUUAUGCAGAGCACUAGUCAGGCCCUUUGCAUGAACAAAAGCAGAUACUGUUCCAGUUUAUGCAGAUUAUUUUCUAUUAAUUGGUGUGUUGCACAAUGAAAGAAUACCUGACUGAAAUUACUUUGGAUGUCUCCCAUAUAUGAACUGAACUUUGGCACAGGGACUGUUAUGAUGGCUUAUUUCUCCAGUAGGAAUCCCUCACUGGUAGAUUUAGGGUUGUUUUUUCUGAGUGAAUGAGUGAAGUGGGUUUCAAAUAUCGCUCAAUAAAUCCUCUUCUCCCCAAGCCUUGUGUCCUUCAAUAUUCUUCAAGCAAGUCUGAUGUUUUUUCCAAUUUUGAUUAUAGCAUUAUAACUCUGAGUAGAGAAGUUGAAUGUACAGUCACUUCUAAAUAGCAUCAGUAAUGCUGGUAGUUGACAUGUUACACUAAAAUACUUUCCUAUUUGGGAAAAAAAAAAAAAAAAA